CCAGCAGGCCGCCUUAUUGAUCCAGCAAUGGAUAGGAAAGUCCGGACACCAUAGGAUAGCAUAGCGGCUAACGGCCGUCACGCUAAAUUUAUUUUUAGUGGAGGACAAGUGCAACAGAAAGAAUGUACAGGUAAUGCUGUAGCGAACCCAGGUAAACUCUAUGCGGUGCAAUGUCAAGUAUACUCACAGUUAAGUGUGAUCCGCGCGUUGUGGGAGGGUAGGCAGAUAGAGGUUACUAGUAAUAGUAAUCCCAGAUAAAUAAUAAGGAAUCUCUAGAAUCAUCUAGAGUGAACAGAAUCCGGCUUAUAGGCCUGCUUUUUUU
rfam:Dokdonia sp. 4H-3-7-5 chromosome, complete genome.